AUUGAACGCUGGCGGCAUGCCUAACACAUGCAAGUCGAACGGUAACGCGGAGAGCUUGCUCUCUGGCGACGAGUGGCGGACGGGUGAGUAAUACUUAGGAAUCUGCCCAUUAGUGGGGGA
rnacentral:rRNA from 1 species